rnacentral:rRNA from 1 species
GACGAACGCUGGCGGCGUGCUUAACACAUGCAAGUCGAACGGUGAAGCGCCUUCCUUUUUGGUGGGUGUGGAUGAGUGGCGAACGGGUGAGGAACACGUUAGUAACCUGCCCCCUUCUUCUGGAUAACCGCAUGAAAGUGUGGCUAAUACGGGAUAUUCUGGGUCUGUCGCAUGAUGGGUCUGGGGAAGAUAUUGUUUCGGUGGGGGAUGGGCUCGCGGCCUAUCAGCUGGUUGGUGGGGGGAUGGCCUACCAAGGCGGCGACGCGGAGCCGGCCGGAGAGGAGGGUCGGCGGUCACACAGGGACGGAACGCCGGACAAGACUACGACGGGAGGCAGCGGUGAGGAAUAGUGCACAAUGGGAGCAAGGCUGAUGCAGCGCCGCCGGGGGGGGGAUGGAGGCCUUCGGGUUGUGAACCUCUUUCGGCAGUGAAGCAGGCCUGCCUCGUUUGUGGGUGGGUUGACGGUAGCUGGAUAAGAAGCGCCGGCUAACUACGUG